UACAGAGGGUGCAAGCGUUGCUCGGAAUCAUUGGGCGUAAAGGGUAGGUAGGUGGUCUCAUUUGUCUGGGGUGAAAGCCCAGGGCUUAACCCUGGAAGUGCCCCGGAAACGGUGAGACUGGAGUACUGGAGAGGGUCGUGGAAUUCCCGGUGUAGCGGUGAAAUGCGUAGAGAUCGGGAGGAACACCAGAGGCGAAGGCGGCGACCUGGACAGUAACUGACACUCAACUACGAAAGCGUGGGGAGCAAACAGG
rnacentral:rRNA from 1 species